GGGGCUGUGCCUGAAUUAAAGGGCCACUUUGAUAGAGUGAAUCAUGAAGGAUAAAGUCCUUCCAGCCCCU
rnacentral:tRNA from 1 species